AGAAUAUACAUAUAUACAUAGAUAUAUAUGGGUGUGUGUGUGUGCGUAGAGAGACAAAUGCUUUUUUUUUUCUGAACCAUUUGAGAGUUAGAUGCAGAGAUGGUGUCCCUUUCGCCGGAAUAUCUGAAGGGUAUUUCUUCAAAACAAGGACAGUACGAUGAUCAAACAAAGAGCACAGUUUUUGCUGACGCAAGGUUGAAGCCAGCUCACAGGUUGCAGUUGGUCAUCACGGCACUGGAGCCUCUUCUCCUGGCCCUGAUUAGCCCUGAGCUAACAUCUGCCACCAAUCCUCCUCUUUUUGCUGA